rnacentral:rRNA from 1 species
AUUGAACGCUGGCGGCAGGCCUAACACAUGCAAGUCGAACGGUAACAGAAAGCAGCUUGCUGCUUUGCUGACGAGUGGCGGACGGGUGAGUAAUGUCUGGGAAACUGCCUGAUGGAGGGGGAUAACUACUGGAAACGGUAGCUAAUACCGCAUAACGUCGCAAGACCAAAGAGGGGGACCUUCGGGCCUCUUGCCAUCGGAUGUGCCCAGAUGGGAUUAGCUUGUUGGUGGGGUAACGGCUCACCAAGGCGACGAUCCCUAGCUGGUCUGAGAGGAUGACCAGCCACACUGGAACUGAGACACGGUCCAGACUCCUACGGGAGGCAGCAGUGGGGAAUAUUGCACAAUGGGCGCAAGCCUGAUGCAGCCAUGCCGCGUGUAUGAAGAAGGCCUUCGGGUUGUAAAGUACUUUCAGCGGGGAGGAAGGGAGUAAAGUUAAUACCUUUGCUCAUUGACGUUACCCGCAGAAGAAGCACCGGCUAACUCCGU